rnacentral:lncRNA from 1 species
UCACCAUGUUGGCCAGGCUGUCUGGAACUCUUGACCUCAGGUGAUCCGCCCAACUUGGCUUUCCAAAAGUGUUGGGAUUACAGGCGUCAGCUAUCGCCUCCUAUUGACUUUUAAAAGGAGGUUGAGUGGCUUCAGGGGUCACACGCCUUGAGCAUCCAAGUGGCCUUCCCCCACUGCCCAAUGAGCAAGUGAGUAGAUUUGGAUGCACAAAAACACAUAUUUCCACGCCAUUUCUUGACUAACGAUCUUUCUUGUUUUAUUCUCAUGAUUCCGUUUCUAGUCUCUAGGCCGUGCCUGGUCCCAGAUCCAAGCUCCCUGGAAGCUGGUACUUGGGCCGCCCUGGGUAGGCAGCACUGAGCAAGGCAGGCGGACAGCGCUGGGCUCGCGGGCCUGCGAGGUCCUGCGUCCUCCGCGGAGUGUUGGCGGCGGGGGUCGCUUCUGCGAGGGGACACCGAGCAGAGGGGGCGUGCGGCCUCUCUAGGAAGCUUUCUCGGACCCCGGACGCUGGCAAGGACCCGCCCCUCUUCCGGACCCCGGCGCGGCCCCCUGCACCUGGGGCUAGCAGCGGAGUCGCUUCUCCCUGCAGCCCCUCCCUGGGUCUGGUGGGACGCAUCCCCGGCGGACCCCGAGGCUGCAGCCAGCGCCCCUGCGGCUUCUCACCCGCGCUACUCCGCCGCAGCGAGGCCCCGCACUUCGCGCGCUAGGAGUUUGGAGUCUGGACCCCCCGCCGGAGCCGAGCCGCCAGGCCGCCCCGCACCCGGCACCAGGGGCCGAUGUCGCCCCUGCAGCAGCUCUCACGGGGCGGCGCUGCGCAGGCGCCGAAGCCCGGAACCUUCGCGCCCAGCUUCUGGGCCCGGCCGGGCCAAGUUCGCCGCCGUCCCGGUUCCCCUCGAGUCGGCUCCAACUGCCAGCCCGGGUUGGCGCCAUGUACGCCGUGUACAAACAGGCGCAUCCGCCCACCGGCCUGGAGUUCGCCAUGUACUGCAACUUCUUCAACAACAGCGAGCGCAACCUCGUGGUGGCCGGGACCUCGCAGCUCUACGUGUACCGCCUCAAUCGCGACGCCGAGGCUGCGCCAUCCAAGGUCCCCUGGGCCUGGGCUUGUGGGACAAGAUCGCCGCGCAGCUCCGGGAACUGCAGCUGUGCAGCCGACGCCUCGGCGCCG